AAAACAUAAUGCCUUCAAACAACAGCACAUUUGGUUGUGUGUGUGGCAGGGUGGAGAUCAGGAUUUCUGGAGCUGCUUAGCUGAGAGGUUUUGGUUAAGGGUCUCCCAGGAGGUUGCCAUGAAGGUGCAGGCUGGGGUCACAGGCACUGGAAGGCAUGGCUGGAGCAAGCAGACCAUUUCCAAGUGGCUCACUCUCAUAGCUGCCAAGUUGGUGAUUGCUGUUUGUAGAUACAUCCAGUUCCUUCCACAUCAACCCUGCCAUAGGCUGCUUGAGUAGUCUCAUGACAUGGCAGCUGGCUCACCCCAGAAUAAGGAAAUGACUUACUGCAAAGAACCACUCUUCCCCACGAGACUUCGAGAAGACCCGCUGUCACGGACUGAGUUGUGUCCUCUUAAAAUUCAGAUGUUGGAGUCCAAACCCCCAGUAACUCAGAGUGUGAACGUAUUUGAAGAGGUCUUUAAAGAGGUGAUGAAGGGAGAGAGACCCCAUGAGCUCGUCAAGCUCCUUCUGUGACUGAUCAGAGAUCCCACCGUGAGUCCAGCUCCUGGUCCCAUGCUCUGGAUAUAUCGGUCCCUGGCAGCGUGGCUCCAUCUCCGUAGCCUGCUUUUGACAAAAGUGGAUACAUAAAUCUAGGGGCCACCUAGCUAGUUCUAAUAAGACUUUGGAAGUCAAAAGCUAAAGAAGACCAGGGGACCAAGCUGGAAAUCAGGCUCUGCAAUCAGAUUCCAGAGGGAAUGCCAUUCCACCCAAUCACCUAGCCACAACGGUUCCCUUCCUUCAAGAUGCUGCAUGCCUCUUCAGGCGAAUGGAUUACCUUGUAAGAGUGACCUGAAAAAGCGUUAGCCCAGCCACACCGAGGCUUAACUGAGCCAUUUGAUUCUCACUGCCUCUCUCUGUUGCUUCCUCUUGCUUUCAACUACAGGGUCUUUCUGUUUAGGUGGUGAAAAAAAUGAUCGUUAAAAACAAUAAACCUGGGGACCUCUGAUACCAUGAGCCCAGCCAGAGAUCUGUGUCAAGCAAAUCCUUGCAGACAGUUCUGCCAGCCUGCAGAUGGCUGUUUGCCUCUCGUGGAUUUGAUAAGUGCUCAUUUAUGCCCAGAGGCCUCUGGGAGAUAGUGCUCAUGCUGAGCUUACAAACUGAAAACCAUUAUCUGUUCCUUACCUGAGACCCUGGGGAGCAGUCAGCUCACUCCCUGCCGAUGGCCUAAGAUAGGUACUGAUGUUACAGUUGAGGAAUAUCUAGGAGUAACAAACUUAAGUAGCUGGAAUAUGCCAAUUUUGACAAUUUGACAACAUCAUUAUAAACAUUCUGAAGUACUUACAA
rnacentral:lncRNA from 10 species